AUUGAACGCUGGCGGCAUGCCUUACACAUGCAAGUCGAACGGCAGCACGGGAGCAAUCCUGGUGGCGAGUGGCGAACGGGUGAGUAAUAUAUCGGAACGUGCCAGUCGUGGGGGAUAACGCAGCGAAAGCCGUGCUAAUACCGCAUACGAUCUACGGAUGAAAGCGGGGGAUCGCAAGACCUCGCGCGAUUGGAGCGGCCGAUAUCAGAUUAGCUAGUUGGGGAGGUAAAGGCUCACCAAGGCGACGACCUGUAGCUGGUCUGAGAGGACGACCAGCCACACUGGAACUGAGACACGGUCCAGACUCCUACGGGAGGCAGCAGUGGGGAAUUUUGGACAAUGGGCGAAAGCCUGAUCCAGCAAUGCCGCGUGCAGGAUGAAGGCCUUCGGGUUGUAAACUGCUUUUGUACGGAACGAAACGGUGAGCUCUAAUACAGUUUGCUAAUGACGGUACCGUAAGAAUAAGCACCGGCUAACUACGUGCCAGCCGCCGCCGUAACAC
rnacentral:rRNA from 1 species